rnacentral:tRNA from 1 species
GCGGGCAAGGCUUCAAUUUAAUUUUGCCAAGGUUGGGGUCGGGCGUUCGAAUCGCCUCGCCCGCUCCA